rnacentral:rRNA from 1 species
AUGGAGGGGAAGAAGAAGGCGACCGUGAAGGCUGCAGCCGUCUGCGUGCUCCUCGCCGUCCUGCUGUCGGCGCAGCAGCUGCCGGCGGCGGACGCGGCGUCGGCGUUCUGCAAAUGCUACGUCAGCUGCUACUCCGACUGCAGGCUCAGGCACCCCCGGCUGUUCUGCAAGCCGCUCUGCGGCGUGGUGUGCGCCCUGGGCGGCCAGAUGGGCGGCGGGUGCCCGGGGGUCUGCGGGGAGGCCUCGGGCUGCGUCGUCGACGGCGAGUCGGACGCUGCUGAUGCUGAUGCGGCGGCGACCUGCGUGGAGGAUUGCCGCAAGCUCCGCAAGGCCAUGAACGGUUAG